UCCUACGGGAGGCAGCAGUGAGGAAUAUUGGGCAAUGCCCGCAAGGGUGACCCAGCAACGCCGCGUGGAGGAUGAAGGCCGUAAGGUUGUAAAUUCCUGUUAGAGGGGAAGAACACUACCGAUUGGAUCGGUAUUUGACUGUACCCUCAGAGAAAGCCCCGGCUAACUACGUGCCAGCAGCCGCGGUAAU
rnacentral:rRNA from 1 species